rnacentral:rRNA from 1 species
CGGCGGACGGGUGAGUAACACGUGGGUAACCUACUUAUAAGACUGGGACAACUUCGGGAAACCGGAGCUAAUACCGGAUAAGAUAUCGAACCGCAUGGUUCGAUAGUGAAAGAUGGUUUUGCUAUCACUUAUAGAUGGACCCGCGCCGUAUUAGCUAGUUGGUGAGGUAACGGCUCACCAAGGCAACGAUACGUAGCCGACCUGAGAGGGUGAUCGGCCACACUGGAACUGAGACACGGUCCAGACUCCUACGGGAGGCAGCAGCC